rnacentral:rRNA from 1 species
UGUAGCGGUGAAAUGCGUAGAGAUCUGGAGGAAUACCGGUGGCGAAGGCGGCCCCCUGGACAAAGACUGACGCUCAGGUGCGAAAGCGUGGGGAGCAAACAGGAUUAGAUACCCUGGUAGUCCACGCCGUAAACGAUGUCUACUUGGAGGUUGUGCCCUUGAGGCGUGGCUUCCGGAGCUAACGCGUUAAGUAGACCGCCUGGGGAGUACGGCCGCAAGGUUAAAACUCAAAUGAAUUGACGGGGGCCCGCACAAGCGGUGGAGCAUGUGGUUUAAUUCGAUGCAACGCGAAGAACCUUACCUGGUCUUGACAUCCACGGAAGUUUUCAGA